GAUGAACGCUAGCGAUAGGCUUAACACAUGCAAGUCGAGGGGCAGCAUGGUCUUAGCUUGCUAAGACUGAUGGCGACCGGCGCACGGGUGCGUAACGCGUAUGCAACUUGCCUCACAGAGGGGGAUAACCCGUCGAAAGACGGACUAAUACCGCGUACACUCCAUCUUGGGCAUCCAAGGUAGAGGAAAUGAAAUUCGCUGUGAGAUAGGCAUGCGUCCCAUUAGCUAGUUGGUGAGGUAACGGCUCACCAAGGCGACGAUGGGUAGGGGAACUGAGAGGUUGAACCCCCACACUGGUACUGAGACACGGACCAGACUCCUACGGGAGGCAGCAGUGAGGAAUAUUAGUCAAUGGGCGAGAGCCUGAACCAGCCAAGUCGCGUGAAGGAUGACUGUCUUAUGGAUUGUAAACUUCUUUUAUACGGGAAUAACAAGAGUCACGUGUGACUCCCUGCAUGUACCGUAUGAAUAAGCAUCGGCUAACUCCGUG
rnacentral:rRNA from 1 species